AUGCCUCCUCCUGUGGCAGCAUCCGAUAUUCCUCUUCCUUCUCCCGCGAGGCCACGACGGCAUGAUUUUUUAGGUUUAGGGGAUUUCGCCCAUGGCGUGCUUCCCGUGCAGGGCGCAGGCCUCCGCCUCAUCCAGAGUCGAUUUAGCAGAGAAGAAGGCAGUUUCAGGAUGGGUACUGAGGACUCUAAAGAUAUGCUGAAGAAUGCGGACUGGAAAACAGUGAGUGGUCCAGUGAUUACUGAGUCAAGCCAGCCAAUUGUUAAGAAGCGUCUUCCAAAGAAAAUCAGACAAGUCCCCGAGUGUUACUUUCUGCCCCGGCGAUCUCUACCUUCUGCAUUGGCAAUCUAUGGUGCUGUUUGUGCCGCUGGAGUUGGUGCAGGAAUGUUGCUUGAGAUUUGGAUAAACAAAAAGAUCAAAGAGGAUGGCGGCGUUGUCUGGGAGAUGGGCAAAUGA
rnacentral:rRNA from 1 species